AUGCCUGCUCUUGAGGGAGUGGAGCUGGAGACGGGUCUGAUCAGUGGGGAGCUCUCCACCAGUGGGUCCAGGACCUUGAAAUCCGGAUGCAGGGAGCCUCGGUGUCCUCGCGGGGCAUCCGGGUUGCCUGAAGCCGGAAGGGCGGAAACGGUGGGCACAGACCGUGUGAGGCUCGUCUCCGCCAGCCCCAACCCGGUCCCCGUCUCUGACGCCCGAAGCGGCUCCCUUCGGCGCCACCUGGCGGCCGUCGCGCGCGAGCGGAGAGUGGACCCAGCGCGGGUCCACGGGCCUGUGGGGGCCAGUUCCCGCGGAGCGGGAGGGCUGGGGGCGCCCAGCGUGGGGAGCCGGGACCGCGCGGAACGGGGCGCGGAAGCUCUCUGGAUUCGGGCGGACCGCACGACCCCCGCCGGGACCCGAGGAGACCCGGGGACGCCGGCCUCUAGCUGCAGCCCACCGGCGGCGGCCGCGGGGCGCCCGAGUCAACGUGCGCGCGCCCGCACGCCCCACGCAAGCAUCCCGCACCGCCGCGCGCGCGCACGCACGCCCCGAGGCUCGCCCGCUCAGGCAGGUCUCCCACGCAGCGGGCUGCGGGCGCCCGAGCCCCGGGUUCCCGGAGUGGAAGGCCGUUCCGAGGGGCGUACUCGUGCGGGCACACCGCUGCACGCUUUUCCACUCUCACCUCGGGCGUGGGGACGCCGCCACGGUCGCACUGUUCCCAUGGGCGACCCCUGGAGGGCGGGUCGUGGGGGUCCGUGCGGCCCAGGCCCCUCGGAACAGGCUGGGGGCUUCCCGGGCCAGGCCGCUCCCACCUGCCGGCCGCAGCGGCCAAUGAGAGCCUGGUCUGGUGAUGUCAUGCCCCGACCGGACCCUGGUGACGAAAGUCCCAGCUCACCCGUCAGGGAACCAGAGCAAACCCACCCGCGGGGGUUCCGGAAGUUUCCACUGCGGCAGCGGAGUGCGGCCUCACCCCGGAGCCUUGCGCGUGCCACCACGUCUUGCCUUCUGGGAUGUCCCCGAGUCACCUCUCCCUUGCCCCGGGGGUCUUCUUCCGUGGGGCCCUCCUUCAUGUCCAUUAGUGAUCUCACGUUCUCGUCUUCAUUCCCACAGGUGUGCCCUCAUCCCCCAGGAGUGCCCCACGUCACCUUUUCUCCGCCAGUACCACUCGGACCCCCGCGGGGUCCUCAGCCUCACUUUCACGUGCCGGUCCUCCCAUGCCACCCUCGCUGUGUCGUGGCCAAGGAUGUUCAUUUAUUGGGCCCCUGGUCCUGA
rnacentral:lncRNA from 1 species